CCUUGAGCAUCUUCCUCCGCCACUCCCGCAUCUGUCCCUAGCUUCUUUCUCCGCCUCUUCCCCGCCCGCCCCCGAGCUUAUUCCUCCGCCACUCCCCCGCGCGUGCCCUGAUUUUCUUCGCUGGUCUGCUUCGUCGUGCCCAUCGAUGGCGGCGGAAGUUAAUGUUCUGGACAUUGUCCCACUAUGCAAACCUAGCAUACAAUCUAGGUUUUCAACGCUCAGAUACAUGGAAGUAGUGGACAAGUUCAAUCCAAUUUCAAAGGUUUUUUAUAUCCAAGCAUGGUCUUGAUAAUCUACUGAGGCUUCCUGUCCACUUGAUGGUCCCUCUGCAUCUUCAGCAGUGGCUUGUUGACCAUGCAUCAUAUGGUGAAACAAAAUUCUUCCAACAAAAAGACAAGGUUAUCCAUUUCAACAAGGAUAUUGUCGACAAGUUCGUUGGGUUUCCAGUGGGCCCCAAGCCAUUUAUUACAUAGAGCAACGAUCCUGAUAUCAUGAGAGAGGUGGAAGAUAUUCGCGGUCAGUACCUCCAAGGGAAGAAGCAGAUAACAAAUAAGAAUCUUGAGUCUGUUUUGCUUGGCGCUAACAAUGAGGUGGUUUUCAUUAGGAGUUUCUUGUUGCUUUUCAUCACCACUGUUCUGUGUCCAUCGACCUACAAUUUUGUCAAUGCAAAAUAUUUGUACUCUUUGAGGGACAGCGGCAUUGAGGAAGUUGGAACACUUGACUUUGCAACUCUGUGCCUAAACAACCUGUGGAGUGAGUUGGAUGCAUGGAAAGACAAGGUGUAGGGAAUACCGGGUUAUGAACAUUUCUCAUUUCUUUUGUAUUCGCAAUUCCGUAGAAAUCGGAAUAUAAAGAUUGGAGUACAUGGUCUGGUUAUGUUUGGUGUCCUGCCAUGUAUACUUUUCUGUGCUUAAAAGCAUGGCUUAUAUAUGUUUUCCCAGAUUCUUUUUGGCCUGAAAUCCUAUCUGUUUUACCAUGUACAUAAGUCAUGAAGAAAUUCAAUAGCCACGAGUUCAUGCCAAGGCAAAUUCGGUAUUUGGGUAUUAUAUCACGUGACAAUAGUACAAAUUGCCUGGAUGUGAAUCGAACCAAACUCGCAUCACAGUUCUUUUUUUGUAGCUGCGAUUUUUGUCUUUUUAUGUUCUAACAUCUGUUUUAAGAAACAAAUAUUUCUUAAACUAGAUAUUAUUAUGCAUUAGUAAAUACUUAGAUGAAGAAAAAAUCUAUAUACCAGGGACAAAAAAAGCUAAGGUACCAAAAACUUAAAAAUUAGGAAUUCUACAAUUCGAAUCUUUUAUCGUAUUGGGAUUUUUUUGGGUUCUUGAUUAAACCGAGAAUAGUUGGAUGCCGAAAAAAUCAGAAUUCUUUUUUUCAAUUCAACAAGGUGUCAAUAACUUCUAGAUGUUGGCUAAGUGAUUCAAUCUUCGCCUUAAAAUAGUUAUGGUCAUGCUUUCUUGAAACAUGUUCAUGCAAAGAAUAAUUUUGUGUUUUAUUUUGUAUGUUUCAAGUUUAGAAAAUCCCUUAAUGUUUUUAUUUAUGUUCAAGGUAGAAAAUGGUUCAUAACAAAAAUCCAUUUCAUGCUUUAUUUUUGUUGUUCAAGGUAGGAAACCGUUCAUUCCAAGAAUUCGUUCAUGCUUUACUUUUAAUUUUCAACAAUCCGUUCAUGCAUGAAUUUAUGUUCAAUGUAGGAACUCGUCCAUGCUUUAUUGUAUGUUCAAGGUAGAAAACCGUUCAUGCAAAAAAAUCCGACUAUGCUUGAAUUUAUGUUCGAUGUAGGAAAUCGUUCAUGCUAGAAAUACGGGAACAAGGGUUUUCGAUAUAUGUCUAAUGAAGAAAACCGUUAAUGCCAAGAAUUUGUUCAUCCUUUUUAUUUAUGUUUCUGCGUACAAAUUGGUUCACGCCGAAGAACUACUCGUCUUUUUAUUUAUGUUCACGGAAGGAAACGGUUCACUCUAAGAUUCCGUUUUGUGUUAUCAUUUCUGUUCAAGGUAGGAAACCGUUCAUGCCAAGAAUCCGUUUAUGCUUUAUUUUUUAUUAUUCAAGGUAGGAAACCGUUCAUGAUUACAAUCCGUUCAUGCUUUAUUUUUAUUAUUCAAGGCAGGAAAACGCUCAUGCCAAGAAUCUGUUAAUGCUUUAUUUUUAUUGUUCAAAUGGGGAAAUCGUUAAUGCCAAGAAACUGUUCAUGCUUUAUUAUUUUUGUUCAAGGUAGGAAAUCGUUCAUGAUUACAAUCCAUUCAUGCUUUAUUUUUUAUUGUUCAAAGUAGGAAACCGUUCAUGCCAAGAAUCAGUUCAUGCUUCCCAUUGCUUAGAGGAAAUGGCUAACGGGAUGUGGCCAAUUUCUCAGACAUAGGAUAUACAUUUAAGAUUUCUGCAAUUAUUCUGUGUAUAGGGGACCACAUGUUUUCAAAAAAAUUGUUCACUUUUUCCUAUCAGAUUGUUAGAGAACAUACGAUCACAACAUCAAGCGAUACAUGUGGUUACCCCUAGAGAGAAGUAAAGUUGGCUUUGCACCCUACUCUGAAGUCUAAACCAUAGUAUAUUGCAUAUUGUAUCUUCAUUGAGGAAAGAGUUUAGAGGCACAACACAUCUGAAUUUAAAUAGUAACUUCAUUCACGGUAAAGUCCAUGUAUGAAGAUUAUAUGAACGGUCAUACGAUCUAUCUUCGUAAAUAUAUUUGGAAACUUAAGAUACCACUGAAAGUCAAGAUUUUUAUGUGGUUUCUUCAUAGAAAAGUUAUACUCACUAAAGAUAAUUUAGCUCGCCGAAAUUGGAAUGGUUGCAUGAAAUGUGUGUUCUGUGAUUCAUCGGAAUCAAUCAAUCAUCUGUUCUUUGAUUGUCCCUUCGCUAAACUUAUUUGGAGAGUUAUUCAGUUUACUUUUAAUAUUGUUCCUCCAACAAAUGUUACAAAUAUGUUUGGAAAUUGGUUAAACGGAGUUGACAAAGUGUCCAAGUUCAGAAUUAGAAUUGGGUUUUGCGCGCUCAUGUGGGCUAUAUGGAACUGCCGCAAUGAUAUUGUCUUUAACAAGAGUACGAACUCAAAUUUUUUACAGGUUACCCGUAUGGUCUCACAAUGGAUCCACGAAUGGUCGCUUUUACUGCCGGAGACGCAACGCGAGUCUAUGCAUGCUGGAUGCCGCCGGCUGGAUGCGGUGGCACGGGCUAUAUACAACCAGGAUGGCUGGCGUCCUGUUAAACGACUUUCAGAUGUAUAAGCGAGUCUCUUAUUUUCCAUUGGCUAGUUUUUGUGUACACGCUUUGUGAUUCGUGAAUUGUAAAACUAAGGAUUAUGUUAUCUGGGUAAUAAAAGAGGGCUGCGUGCAUCGAUUGAUGCAGAGG